GAAGUGGCAGCCAUGCGGAAAUGGGAGCCUUAAGUUGGGUGGGUGCACUGCUGCCACCUGUCAAGACAUCUCUGCUGUUUUUAUGAACGCAUGAGCUACCUGGCAGUUACGGGCCCGCCAAAGAUGGCGGCAUAGUAAAGCGAGGCACCCUCGUGCAUUGUAGACAUUCCUUCCUUACCUUCUUUAACUUGCGCUUCUGCUCCAGAUAUUUACCCAUGAGGAUACGACGUCGUAGCAGCAGAUCAAGGAAACAAAAGGGAGAAUUAAAACCAUGUUACUGAGAAAUCUCUAGGCUUAAUUCGACCACCAGUGCAAACUAACAGAUGGUUCAUCUUUCUGUUUUUUUUUUUUAUCAGGAAUAAAAUUCAAUGAACUCGGAUCAGCUAGUCUUGCUUUAUUUUAUUUUAUUUAGAAAAUACCAUUUGAAGAUGUCAUUCUUGGGAUUGAUGUGAAUCUUCUUUUUUAAGAUUUACCUUGUCAAGGUAAAGGCUGAUUGCAAGGAAUAAAACCCCUUCCUUUGCAACUCCAUGAUCCGUGGAAAUGAACGGCAGGGCACCACAGCCAUCUGUUAGCUAACGUGGGAAGUUGUGAGACAGCCAGACAAAAUAAGCCUGCCGUACAGGAAUAUGGAAAUAUUGCACGGACACGAACUAGAAAUAAAAAAACAAAUUAAAGAGAAAAAUGUGAACGAUCACGUGACGCCGACCUCGUUUGCGGUCAAAGGGAUGUACACGUGGUUGGUAUCACAGCUAAUAUAGCUGUUUCCUCACUGACACUCCAUGAAUCUAGACGACGACAACAACAAAAUCUUCAUGAU